rnacentral:ribozyme from 1 species
UUUUUUUUUUUUUUUUUUUUUUUUUUUUUUUUUUUUUUCGUUCCC